rnacentral:rRNA from 1 species
UACGUAGGGUGCGAGCGUUGUCCGGAAUUAUUGGGCGUAAAGAGCUCGUAGGCGGUGUGUCGCGUCGGCCGUGAAAGUCCGGGGCUCAACUCCGGAUCUGCGGUGGGUACGGGCAGACUAGAGUGAUGUAGGGGGAGACUGGAAUUCCUGGUGUAGCGGUGAAAUGCGCAGAUAUCAGGAGGAACACCGAUGGCGAAGGCAGGUCUCUGGGCAUUAACUGACGCUGAGGAGCGAAAAGCAUGGGGGAGCGAACAGG